rnacentral:snRNA from 1 species
AGAUGCAAGGCUGAUCUGGCUGUGACAUCUGUUACCCUGCUGAUUACCAGGGUGACAUCUGAUUCAGCUGGAGAGGUGGUGUUCUUCCUCUCUCACUGCUCCAUGUGUGUCCCUACCAAAGCCACACACUCAUCGGAGGACGACUUUUCCUGAUAAAAGAGGAUCAUUAUCUGGCCAGAGGUAUAUAAGGAGCUGCGCUGUACUGCUAGAACCCCAAAACACACUCUCUAAAUGUAUUCAGAAGAUAACAGAAGAGUCGCCUAAAUUGAAAUAGAACUUUAUACCAGUGAUGGCACACCUGUU